rnacentral:rRNA from 1 species
UACGGGGGCGGCAAGCGUUGUUCGGAAUUACUGGGCGUAAAGGGCGCGUAGGCGGGGAGGUAAGUCGGGUGUGAAAUCCCUCGGCUCAACCGAGGAACUGCGCCCGAGACUGCCUUUCUUGAGUCCCGGAGAGGAAGGUGGAAUUCCCGGUGUAGCGGUGAAAUGUGUAGAGAUCGGGAGGAACACCGGUGGCGAAGGCGGCCUUCUGGACGGUGACUGACGCUGAGGCGCGAAAGCGUGGGGAGCAAACGGG